GGCGUCAUCAAAGGGCGUAGGAAAAGCCGAGUCUACCCAGCGGGCAGUUGCGUUAGUGUAGCCAGAGAUGGGGACAUCAAGAAGCAGAUGCCGCCAUGCUGGAUUAGGGCAGAUAGCGGCCGGAAUUGGAACGUUGUUGUGAAAUUCUGUUAUUUCUCCUUAAAUUCGCUGGAAUUUAUUCUGGUUUAGAGAGGGUGGGGGAGAGGAGAUGCAGUCGCAGAAUAAUAUUAAUAGUAUUAGAAGUAUAUUAUCUCUGUUAUUACCUGCCACCAAUAUUUUAUAAAGCAUUUUGACGGGCAUUGCCACGUUUAGUCAUCAUAGCAACUCAGGGAAACGGUUUUACUAUUUCUUUUUAACAAAUGAUGAAAUAGGGUUAAAGUAACUUGCCCAAAUCACUUAGGCUCAUUCGUGCCCAUGUGAAGAAAAAACAAAUUUGUUCUUGGUAUUUGUAUGUACAAAAUUUCAACCGGUUGUUAUAUGGUCUAAGAUAAAAUACAUGUAAUUAUGGAAGGGACUGGUUUGCUAGGCAGCUUUGAAUUGUGGUCAUGAAAUGUCAACUUUGGAACUGCAUGUAUCUAAUUGCUGCGGUUUGUUAAACUCCAUAAAGUUCAUCUUGUAAUCUCACCCUUACCCUCCAGGAUCUUGCAGUCUAGUGCUGAAGAAGGAAUAUAAGACAACGUUUAGAAUAUGAAGCCUAUAAAUGAUAGCAUUGAGGAAGGAAGUCCAGGCUGUCCUGCUGUAGGAAGGUCAUCGUGUGGAGAAGCACUGGAAGAUGAGACAUCACAUGUAGAGAGAGGCUAUAUGGGUGAGAACGAGCCAGCAAGCAGUCAGCAUGAGGCCACAGAUGUGUGAGGGAGCCAUUCUCGGCUCUUUUCAUCCCAGCCAUCAACCUUUUUGAACGCAAUCUCAUGAACUGCAGUGGAGCUAAUAACGCCACACAAGCCAGAAAACUGCCUACUCCUGAUAAGGGAAAUCUGUGUCCUAAGAUGGCCGACCGACCCAUCAAGGGAGUCCCAGCCCUUGCCCCGGGCCUCUUCUGGGUUCUUCUCCCUGCCCAGCUUCCCACACGUGCCAAGAGUGCCUAGUAUGCGGAAGUAGAAGUGUAUAAAUUACCCGCUUUGUGCUCACGGCUCAGACCUUUGGAGACCACUCUCCUCUGAGCCUGCUGGCGUUAAAUAAACCUCCUAUCCUCCAAGAUCUCUGAGUGCUGCUUGGUUCUUCCCUGGGGUGAUGCAAUCCAGGUUCCAUAACACUCCAACCACAGUAUUGUGAGAAAUAAUGAAUUUUGUGGGGGGAAAUAAUACAUGGUGAGAAAUAGUAAAUAAAUAAGUUCACUAAAUGGUGUG